rnacentral:misc_RNA from 1 species
AGUAGCACGAAGAAAUAUAGACCAACUGUGCACCGAAAUGUCAUGCUCCAAAAACAUUUACCGAAAUGUAUCCUAGGCCAAAACGACGCACUUUUUGAUACGAAUGGCCGCGUGGCGCAGUUUCUUUUCAUUGCUUUUUUGCGAAUUAAUUGUGAAUUUCGAUGUAAGACAGCCCUCAACCUGUAUUCAAUUUUAACAUGGGUCCUGUCUUGAAGCAGGGAUAAACUGAAAGCUAAAGCAAACAUCACAGACGCGAUGGCGUCGGCGGCGGGCACCAUCGAGAUCCCGCUGCGGGACAACCCGGAGGAGGUGAUCGAGCUGGACGCCGGCCAGCUGCCAGAGGGCGACGAGGUGCUCACCAUCCUGCGCCAGGAGGAGGCGCCGCUCCACCUCUGGGUCACCGUGGCCGUCCACUACUUCAAACAGAACAAUGCCGCCGACUUCGUCAAGAUCCUGGAGGCGUCUCGCACCGAGGCCAGCCUCAACUACCGCGACUUCCAGAAGGACCAGAUGCGCGCCCUGGACACGCUGGCCGCCUACUAUGUGCGCCAGGCCAACAGCGAGAAGAACAAGGACCGCAAGAAGGAGCUGUUCACCAAGGCGACCCUGCUGUACACCACGGCCGACAAGAUCAUUAUGUACGACCAGAACCAUCUACUGGGCCGCGCCUACUUCUGUCUGCUGGAGGAGGGCGACAAGAUGGACCAGGCCGACGCCCAGUUCAACUUCGUGCUCAACCAGUCGCCCAACAGCAUCCCGUCGCUACUCGGCAAGGCCUGCAUCGCCUUCAACAAGAAGGACUACAAGGGUGCGCUGGCGUUCUACAAGAAGGCGCUGCGUACGAACCCGCAGUGUCCGGCUGACGUGCGGCUCGGCAUGGGCCACUGCUUCCUCAAGCUGGGUAACGCCGAUAAGGCGCGGCUGGCGUUCGAGCGAGCCCUCGACCUGGACGCCAACUGUGUCGGCGCGCUCGUCGGACUGGCCAUUCUGGAGCUGAACAACAAGCAACCCGAGUCGAUCCGCAGUGGUGUGCAGAUGCUGUCGCGCGCCUACACCAUCGACCCCACCAACCCCAUGGUGCUCAACCAUCUGGCCAACCACUUCUUCUUCAAGAAGGACUACGGCAAGGUGCGGCAGCUGGCCACCUACGCGCUCUACAACACGGAGAACGAUGCGAUGCGUGCUGAGAGCUGUUACCAGCUGGCACGCGCGUUCCACGUGCAGGCGGACUACGAGAAAGCGUUCCAGUACUACUACCAGGCGACGCAGUUCGCGCCGCCGAGCUUCGUGCUUCCCAACUACGGACUCGGCCAGAUGUACAUCUACCGUGGCGAUACUGAAAACGCCGCACAGUGCUUCGAGAAGGUGCUCAAACUGCAGCCGGGGAACUACGAGACGAUGAAGAUCCUUGGCUCGCUGUACGCCACGUCGACGAGCGAGUCCAAGCGUGACAUCGCAAAGGGUCACCUGAAGAAAGUCACCGAGCAGUUUCCGGACGACAUCGAGGCUUGGAUCGAGCUGGCCCAGAUCCUGGAAGGUACUGACCUCAACGGCUCGCUGGCUGCCUACAACCACGCCAUCGGCAUCCUGAAGGACAACGUCAUGGCCGAGAUCCCGCCCGAGCUGCUCAACAACGUGGCCUCGCUGCAGUUCCGGCUGGGCAACCAGGAGGCGGCGCACAAAAACUACGAGCUGGCGUUGGACCGGUGUAAGCGCGAGUCGGAACACGACGCGCAGUACUACAACAGUAUCAGCAUCACGAUCACCUAUAACCUGGCGCGGCUGUUCGAGGUGCGCUGGCUCAACGACCGUGCCGAGAAGCUCUACAAGGAUAUCCUGAAGGAGCACCCCAACUACGUGGACUGCUACCUGCGACUGGGCUGCAUGGCGCGCGACCGCGGUCAGAUCUACGAGGCAUCUGACUGGUUUAAGGAAGCUCUGCAGGUUAACAACGAGCACCCGGACGCCUGGUCUCUGAUCGGCAACCUCCACUUGGCCAAACAGGAGUGGGGACCUGGCCAGAAGAAGUUCGAGAGGAUCCUGAACACGACGCCGCACGAUCCGUACUCGCAGAUCGCGCUGGGGAACGUCUGGUUACAGACGCUUCAUGUGCCCACCAAGGACAAAGACAAGCUACAGCGGAACCAGGCGCGCGCGCUGGCUAUGUACAAGGAGGUGCUGCGCCACGACCCGCGCAACAUCUGGGCGGCCAACGGAGUGGGAGCCGUCAUGGCGCACAAGGGCUACAUCUCAGAGUCCCGAGACAUCUUCGCGCAGGUCCGCGAGGCCACGGCAGACUUCUGUGACGUGUGGCUCAACAUCGCGCACGUGUACGUGGAGCAGAAGCAGCUGGUCAGUGCCAUCCAGAUGUACGAGAACUGCCAGAAGAAGUUCUUCAAGUACAACAACGUGGAGGUGCUGCUGUACCUGGCGCGCGCCUAUUUCAAGGCGGGCAAGCUGCGCGAGGCCAAGAUGACGCUGCUGCAGGCGCGACGUGUUUCACCCCAGGACACGGUGCUGCUCUAUAACCUGGCGCUGGUGCUGCAGCGACUCGCCAUGCAGAUUCUCAAGGACGAGAAGUCCAACCUGAAGACAGUGCUGCAGGCAGUGCACGAGCUGGGCCUGGCGCACAAGUACUUCCAGUACCUCUCCAUCAACGGCGAUCGCAUGAAGUACGACCUGGCGAUGGCUGAGGUGGAGGCGCGUCAGUGCCAGGACCUGCUGUCGCAGGCACAGUACCACGUGGCCCGCGCUCGUCGACAGGACCAGGAGGAGCGCGAACAGCGCCGCCGCCAGGACGAGUCGCGUCAGACGUUCCUGCAGCGGCAGCAAGAGGAGCAGAGCCGGCGCGAGGCCGAGCGGCGCCAGCGCCUCGAGGAGCAGAUGCGCGCCCGCGAGGAGUUCAAGGAGAAGAUGAAGAACGCGGUGGUGAUCCCAGAGAUCCCGUCCGAACCGAGCCGCGGCAAGAAGCGCGGCCGCGGCCGGCGCGACUAUGUCUCCGACUCUGGCGGCUCUGGCGGCGAGCAGGGCGGUGGUCCGUCCGGCAAGAAGCAGCGCAAGCCACGCGAAAAGAAGGAGCGCAAACCGGGCAAGGGCCGCAAGAAGCGCGAGGCCGGCUCGGGAUCGGACGGCGAGCCCCGCGGACGCGCACGCAAGAAGAAGAAGGCCGAGACCGAGGACGUGGACGGCUUGACGGUGAAGCAGCGCCGCAAGGUGGUGUCCAAGGCGACCAUCUCGGACUCGGACAGUUCCGACUCGGGCGGGGCUCGCCGCCGCCGCGACAGCAGCAGCGACGACGCCGGCGCCGGUGGACGCGGCAAGAUUGUAUCCGACUCGGACGAAAGCCCGGCCCGCUCGCGUUCCGGCUCGCCGCGCAAGUCACGCUCGCGCUCAAAGUCUCGCUCCAAAUCGCGUUCUCGAUCGCGGUCGCGCUCUGGCUCCGGUUCGCGUUCGGGCUCGACCGGCUCCCGGCGGUCGGUGAGCCGCUCAAAGUCCCGCUCUCGGUCGCGCUCUGGCUCGCCGGGGUCGCGCCGGUCGCGCUCCAAGUCGGGCUCCCGCUCCGGCUCCGGUUCUCGCUCGCGCUCGAGGUCUGGAUCCCGCUCCAAGUCCCGCUCGAAGUCCCGCUCUAAGUCUCGUUCUAGGUCCCGUUCUAGGUCCAAGUCUAAAUCUCGUUCCCGUUCGCGGUCGCGCUCUGGAUCUCGGUCUGGCUCGGCGGCGUCAAAACGUUCCGGCUCGGCGGCUUCUCAGCGAUCAGGGUCGGGUUCGGACUGAGCUGUGAGCUGUGCGACUAUCUGACUGGACUGGAAGUGCCACUGGACUGGACUGGGGACUGGAAAUGUGCGGUGAUCGGAGUGAGUGAGAGUGUGGUGUGCGGUCGCCGCCCGCUCGGACUGAUAGUGGUCACGGUGUUAUGGUGCGGGACAUGUUUCGUGCCAGACUGCGGGCAUCGUUUCCCAUGUGUAUAUGUACAGUGCCGCGUUCAAGAUGGGACGCACCUGUCUAAUAGUGUCCACAUUUGGACGAAUUUCAUCGUCAUUCAUGCCCUUGUCGCUUUCCUCGCUGAUGUGAAACUGUUUCAGGGAGAGCCAUUGGAUAUGGAGAGCUUCAUCGAUAUAUUUUCAGGUCGCGGCACACCCUUGUGCUUUACAAUUUUGUGGACAAUACAUUGCAUCAAGCGGUGA